GGGUGCGACCAUACAACCCCUAAUGCACCGGAUCCCAGUAGAACUCUGCAGUUAAGCGUUUUUGGUAGAGAGUAGUACUAGGAUGGGUGACCUCCUCGGAAGUCCUCGUAUUGCACCUC
rnacentral:rRNA from 1 species